CGCUGCUAGGGCGCCUGCGCGGGAGGGCAGGAGUCUGCGCGCUGCCACCUCUGAAGCGGCUUUGCCCUGAGCGCCGGCUUCCUUUCUCGCUUCAGAGACCGGCUGCUCUGGUUUCCACGGGGAGAAGAGGUCUGGGGCGGCACCCUAUUGUGCGCUCCCGGUUGCUCUUCCUUCGGGGAAUAAAGGAGGUGGUGGUGGUGUGUUUUUUUUUCAAUAUAAAAGGGGCGAAGCGAAACGGCCUACUAAAAGCCGAAGAGAGUACGCGGCCCAUUUAAGGCAGCGCAGUGGGUAAUAUGCAGUUAGAGAACCGGUUUGGUUUAUAGUGCUUAAGGCGCCUGGCUAGAAAGCAAGGAGACUUGAGUUGCAGUCCCGUUUUAGGCGUGAAAGACGGCUGGGUUGACUCUGGGCCAGUCACUCACUCUCAGCCCACGAGGCUUCGGCAGCAAGGUUCCUGUCGCAACCAAUGGCUCAACACUCGGUGGAUCCGAAAAACGGAUCCUAUAUUUACGGGGAAAACGCUAGGAAGAAAAGAAAAAAAUCGGAGAUAUAUGCAGUGGAUAUAAAAAAAAGUCAUGAUGGCAGCCACAACUGUGCAAUUGAAGCCCCACCUCUUUUAAAAUGCAUAUAUUGAAAAGGAUGGGUUUACAAUUACAGAGUAACAGGUGCGGACGUGGCCUCUGCAAUAGAUAGAAUGCCUCCCUUCAUCUCAAAUUUAUUCAGUUAUGGUUAUUGACCAGCCAGGUCUUUGUAGAAGGAAAGAAAGAGAAGUAUAACCCUUCAGAUCAUCCAGGAUAUCAGGAAGUCGAACUUCAACUCCCGAUUUGCCAUUGAAUUUCAUAGGGAUGGCCACCUAAAAUAAGUCUUUCAGCCAUUCCAGAUAAAUCUUUUUCAUCCACUAUCUGAAAAUGAAGCACUGCCAGGUAAGAGGCUUGUACAGCAAAAGAAGUGCAAUUUCAUAAUCCAAGCCAGCAGUAGCAGAAUUGCUGUAACUGUUUUGUGUGAAUUCAGAACAUCUGGAACUGGAGGUUGGUGCAAAAUGAAGCAAGUGGCAAAAAGAGGGCCAGAACAGAACAAUAUGCUCCAGAAACAGAGCUGUUACGAUACAAAAAUAUAUUUCUUUUGAAGUUUAUUUAUCUCAGUAGGCAAAAUCUCUCUCUCUCUUUAUCUAUCACAUUUGAAAGAACUUCCCGGGGAGAGAACACAAUGCUUAUAUAUCUCUACUUCUACCUGACCAGAACUCUGAUAAAUCCUUUCAGAUUGCCUGAUUUUGUGCUACCAUUUGUUCUAUUCAUCCUACCUAUGACUGAAGAUUACUAAAUUUUGGUGA